UCCUACGGGAGGCAGCAGUGAGGAAUAUUGGUCAAUGGUCGGGAGACUGAACCAGCCAAGCCGCGUGAGGGAUGAAGGUACAGAGUAUCGUAAACCUCUUUUGUCAGGGAACAAAGGCGGGGACGCGUCCCCGGAUGAGUGUACCUGAAGAAAAAGCAUCGGCUAACUCCGUGCCAGCAGCCGCGGUAAUACGGAGGAUGCGAGCGUUAUCCGGAUUUAUUGGGUUUAAAAGGUGCGCAGGCGGUCUGUUAAGUCAGCGGUCAAAGCCCGGGGCUCAACCCCGGCCCGCCGUUGAAACUGGCAGG
rnacentral:rRNA from 1 species